CAAUAGCCCCGAUAGCAGUGGAAAUCCUUUGCGUUGGCGUUAGCCAAAAGCAACGGAUUGUAACGAAUAGCGGGAGGGAAG
rnacentral:sRNA from 1 species